rnacentral:other from 1 species
AGUACCCUGCCUUGUUCGCUGACAGGCGGUAAUCUCUGACCCUUUAUCUUCCUAGUGGGAGCUUGAAUCUGGUGUGGAUCACAUGCCUCAUUGCGAGGACUUGAAAAGCACCGGCUAAAGCACCCCCCUCGCUUGCGAGGAACGGAGAUGCCAGCCUCUUACGAUAUAGGCGGGGUAUUU